AUCAAUGGUGGGCUGUAUGGGGGCGGAGCAAUCCGCGCCGGGUUCUUCGUUAACCGGUUACGCCAACCCCGUACAGUCCACCGCCAGC
rnacentral:antisense_RNA from 1 species